ACGUAGGGUGCAAGCAUUGUCCGGAUUUAUUGGGCGUAAAGAGCUCGUAGGCGGCUUGUCACGUCGGAUGUGAAAACUCGGGGCUCAACCCCGAGCCUGCAUUCGAUACGGGCUAGCUAGAGUGUUGCAGGGGAGACUGGAAUUCCUGGUGUAGCGGUGAAAUGCGCAGAUAUCAGGAGGAACACCGGUGGCGAAGGCGGGUCUCUGGGCAACUACUGACGCUGAGGAGCGAAAGCGUGGGGAGCGAACAGGAUUAGAUACCCUGGUAGUCCACGCCGUAAACGGUGGGCGCUAGGUGUGGGGAACCUUCCACGUUCUCUGUGCCGUAGCUAACGCAUUAAGCGCCCCGCCUGGGGAGUACGGCCGCAAGGCUA
rnacentral:rRNA from 1 species